GUGCUUUGCUUGAAGUAAGUUACUCGUUCUGUCUAUACAUGCUUAAUACUGAAUGUGUUUGUCACACACAAAUUGGUUGAUCUGUCAUAUUAUAUUCUUCAUUAGAAUUUCACCUCUUGAAUAGAACUGCAUUCCAUGUGUUCCACUGUAGUUGCGAAUAUGAAGCAAUGCCUAAUAGAAUAAUUUAUCCUAUUUAGUUGACUUUUGAAGUCAAGCAUAUGUUGAUUUGACUAUGAAUGAUGAUUAAAAAUGGUUACUUGUUAUGAGGUGCUAUCAUAUAUUAUUGGUGAAUUGGUUUUUAACAUAGAUGCAUAUAUGAAUGGGUAUAGUUAGAGGGACUUUUAUCAACAUUGGCGUGCUUUGUAUAUGGUUUAUUCUGUGAUUUUUUUUGUCAUUUUAUUUUUUGAUUACUGACCUAGUUCACUAUGUUAAGGUGGAUGAGUGACCAU
rnacentral:misc_RNA from 1 species